rnacentral:rRNA from 1 species
CUACGGGCCGCUCCAGUGAGGAAUAUUGCACAAUGGAGGAAACUCUGAUGCAGCAACGCCGCGUGGAGGAUGACGCAUUUCGGUGUGUAAACUCCUUUUAUAUGUCAAGAAAAUGACGGUAGCAUAUGAAUAAGCACCGGCUAACUCCGUGCCAGCAGCCGCGGUAAUACGGAGGGUGCAAGCGUUACUCGGAAUCACUGGGCGUAAAGGACGCGUAGGCGGGAUAUCAAGUCAGGUGUGAAAUCCUACAGCUUAACUGUAGAACUGCACUUGAAACUGGUAACCUAGAGUAUGGGAGGGGGAGAUGGAAUUAGUGGUGUAGGGGUAAAAUCCGUAGAUAUGUGGAGGAACACCUAAAGCGAAGGCGAUCUCCUGGAACAUAACUGACGCUAAGGCGUGAAAGCGUGGGGAGCAAACAGGAUUAGAUACCCCUGUAGUC